rnacentral:rRNA from 1 species
GAUGAACGCUGGCGGCGUGCCUAAUACAUGCAAGUCGAGCGAAUGGAUUAAGAGCUUGCUCUUAUGAAGUUAGCGGCGGACGGGUGAGUAACACGUGGGUAACCUGCCCAUAAGACUGGGAUAACUCCGGGAAACCGGGGCUAAUACCGGAUAACAUUUUGAACCGCAUGGUUCGAAAUUGAACGGCGGCUUCGGCUGUCACUUAUGGAUGGACCCGCGUCGAAUUAGCUAGUUGGUGAGGUAACGGCUCACCAAGGCAACGAUGCGUAGCCGACCUGAGAGGGUGAUCGGCCACACUGGGACUGAGACACGGCCCAGACUCCUACGGGAGGCAGCAGUAGGGAAUCUUCCGCAAUGGACGAAAGUCUGACGGAGCAACGCCGCGUGAGUGAUGAAGGCUUUCGGGUCGUAAAACUCUGUUGUUAGGGAAGAACAAGUGCUAGUUGAAUAAGCUGGCACCUUGACGGUACCUAACCAGAAAGCCACGGCUAACUACGUGCCAGCCGCCGCCGUAA